UGCCUAUCCGCGCUCUGUGCAC
rnacentral:misc_RNA from 1 species